AUUGAACGCUGGCGGCAGGCCUAACACAUGCAAGUCGAGCGAGCGGCGGACGGGUGAGUACUGUCUGGGAAACUGCCUGAUGGUGGGGGAUCACUACUGGAAACGGUAGCUUAUACCGCAUACCAUCAGAUGUGCCUCGGUGGGAUUAGCUAGUUGGUGGGGUAACGGCUUACCUAGGCGACGAUCCAUAGCUGGUCUGAGAGGAUGACCAGCCACACUGGAACUGAGACACGGCCCAGACGCCUACGGGAGGCAGCAGUGGGGAAUAUUGGACAAUGGGCGAAAGCCUGAUGGAGCCAUGCCGCGUGAGUGAAGAAGGCUUUCGGAUUGUAAAGCACUUUCAGCAGAGAGGCGGUACCCGCAGAGAAAGCACCGGCUAACUCCGUGCCAGCCGCCGCGGUAAUAC
rnacentral:rRNA from 1 species